UAUUGAAAACAUCGGGUCGCGCGCCUAUUCAUUUCUUCUACUCAUCUUCUCUCUCUAGGUUUUCUCUCUCCUCCAUCUGCUCUCGCACCCAUCGGCGAUUUUGACCGUGCGCAUCUGGACACGCAGCGGGGAAUCGGCGCGGGGUUGAAGUGGAGAUCAUACCCAGGUGAGUGUGUCCUCCCGCGCAGUAUCAUUUUCGAUCCACGGCGGUUGAUCCAGGAUUUCGUUGUGUUUUUUUUGGUUGAGGUCGUCGCCUCGAGCAGCAAGAAUCCGGAGGGGUGGAGGGGGCGGGGGAGGAGUGCAAGAAACGCAGAUCAGAUAGCAGCAGCAUCUCGUGGCUCGGAAUCUGGCAGAGCAGAAUCAGAAUUUAGGAGACAUCAACAUCUCCCCACGCGCUCUACCUGUGCUCCUCUGCAAUCUGGUCGGGGAAAGCACAGGGUCAGAUUUCUAGCACAUGAAGGUUUUGUUGCGGUCUCUGCCAGAGAAAAAAAUUGCACACGGCAUAUGUUGGUUGCGAAUUUGAGGCCCUGGAGAUGACACCGUCUUUUGCUGCUAGCUGGAAGACUCACACAAAUCUGAUGAUGGUGCUGGUCCAUACUGUUUUGGUGCUAGAGAAUAAGGCCUGAAGAUUUAUAUUUCACACAAAAAUGGUGUUUGGAACUUGAAACCUGAUUUUCCUUUUCUUUUUGUCUGCAAGAUUCCUCAACAAAUCGGCACUAUAACCCGCCAUGUAGCCGUAAGGCUCCCAUCAUUGUAUUUUUUUUUGGGUGCCAAGGUGAGCUUUCCUCUGCCUCUCACCUUUGUGCUCCCACCACUGUCCUGUCUACAACAUUUCAUUAUACAUAUGGGGAUGGAGGGCAAUGAGGUGUAUCAACCCAUCAGUUCGGAAACUUCAACACACGUUGUUUAGUUUGUCCAUCAAAAGCAAGUUUUCAGCAUCACAACAGAUCUGUCCUGAGGCAAUGUGUGUUUGUGUUAAUAGGAUUUUGUAGUUCUUUCUUGUGAGAUGCAUGCGACGUAUCACAACAGAGUCAUGAAAGUUUAAUAUUUGCCUGUGAUGUAGUUUUUUAGUCAAGAAAUGAGUGAGAGGCAAAUCUAUGUGUAAAUAGACUCAUGUAAACUAAAUUGAUAUGCUUAUGACAUUUGGCAGUUCAGUAUAAUAUGUAUGUAUUCUGAAUAAAAUUAUAUAUUCUAUCCA